UGGGGGAUAUUGCACAAUGGGCGCAAGCCUGAUGCAGCGACGCCGCGUGGGGGAAGAAGGCCUUCGGGUUGUAAACUUCUUUUGCUCUGAACAAGGCGCACUUUGGGGUGUGUUGAGUGUAGGGGUUGAUUAGCGCCGGCUAACUACGUGCCAGCAGCCGCGGUAAUACGUAGGGCGCGAGCGUUGUCCGGCAUUAUUGGGCGUAAAGGGCUUGUAGGUGGCUGGUUGCGUCUGUCGUGAAAGCUCAUGGCUUAACUGUGGGUUUGCGGUGGGUACGGGCUGGCUUGAGUGCAGUAGGGGAGGCUGGAAUUCCUGGUGUAGCGGUGGAAUGCGCAGAUAUCAGGAGGAAUACCGGUGGCGAAGGCGGGUCUCUGGGCUGUUACUGACACUGAGGAGCGAAAGCAUGGGGAGCGAACAGG
rnacentral:rRNA from 1 species